rnacentral:lncRNA from 1 species
UGUGAUUGCAAGGAAAAAUCACCAUUCAUCAGCUGGAAAAAGCAGUAACUAGUUGAUUGCAUACGUAUGUGCACACAGUGUUUGCCCAGGCAAACAGCAGGGUGAAGGUUAAGCACAGGAAGGGUAUUUAGGAGUGAGUGUCUGGCUGGCUAGCUAAAAUCAAAGGACAUGAGGAUAUCAUGGUGUUAUAGCAGAUGUUAGGAGCUUUAGGCAUAUUGCAGUAGGGGUAGGGUUCAUGUGAGCUGAAGUGGGUGUUAUUGCAGUGGAAAGCUGCAGUUCUCAUCCUCAGUUCUCUAAAAAUUGACAUGUUGUAUAUAUAUUUCAAAGUCUUGUCAUGUUAGAUAUUUUAGUGUGGUUUAUAGGAAGAGGCACUGCAUCUGAUUAGAUCAACAAAUACAACUUGGGAGGGAGGAUGACAGACCAUUUGUGGGGCAAACAAGGUUGCUUGGUGUAUCUUAUCAAGACUGGAGCUUACUGGAUUCAUUGAUUUCAGUGACAGCUUCUGUCUUUGCAAGGCUGGGUCAUUCACUUGAGGCAGAGGUCUCCAUCAGGAUGGUAAGGUAGCUUGUUGUGAUGUGGGACUGCUGUCGGAAUACCUCACAAACAUGCCGUAAGCCCUGAGAACGCCCAGGCUUUGACAUGACAAGGUAUUGCCCUUGCUGUAAGAGGUGUCACUGAGCUGGGUGGCCAGAGCCUUCGGUGUGAUUUUCAUCUCAGAGUUUCAGCUGUGUUUUUUCCUGAACAGUCAGCAUUGGCCAUCUAAUGCCUUGACAAGGAGGACCUUUGGGUUUGACUUUGUAACCCUUUGGAGAGCCAGGAAAGAGGGAAUGCUAUCCUGUGCUGAGAUUAAUUAUUAACAGCUACUAGCAGAGACGGAACCGGCUGUCAGCAUUUGAGCG